rnacentral:rRNA from 1 species
GACGAACGCUGGCGGCGUGCUUAACACAUGCAAGUCGAACGAAGUGGCGAACGGGUGAGUAACGCGUAAUCAACCUGCCCUUCAGAGGGGGACAACAGUUGGAAACGACUGCUAAUACCGCAUACUGAAGGAGGGGAUUGCGUGUGGUUAGCUAGUUGGAGGGGUAACGGCCCACCAAGGCGAUGAUCAGUAGGCGGGCUGAGAGGAGGAACGGCCACAUUGGGACUGAGGCACGGCCCAGACUCCUACGGGAGGCAGGAGUGGGGAAUCUUCCGCAAUGGGCGAAAGUCUGGCGGAGCAACGCCGCGUGAGUGAUGACGGCCUUCGGGUUGGAAAGCUCUGUUAAUCGGGACGCGGUACCGGAAUAGAAAGCCACGGCUAACUACGUGCCAGCAGCCGCGGUAAUAC